CUGGAGUGCUGGAGAGGGAAGCGGAAUUCCCAGUGUAGCGGUGAAAUGCGUAGAUAUUGGGAGGAACACCGGUGGCGUAGGCGGCUUCCUGGACAGACACUGACGCUGAGGCGCGAAAGCCAGGGGAGCGAACGGGAUUAGAUACCCCGGUAGUCCUGGCUGUAAACGAUGAACACUUGAUGUGGGGGGUAGGCAAGUCCCUCCGUGUCGCAGAUAACUCGUUAAGUGUUCCGCCUGGGGAGUACGGCCGCAAGGCUGAAACUCAAAGGAAUUGACGGGGGCCCGCACAAGCGGUGGAGCAUGUGGUUUAAUUCGACGCAACGCGAAGAACCUUACCGGGGUUUGAACUUGGUCGGCAACCACGAGAGAUCGUGGGUUCCUUUCGGGGACUGAUCAAGAGGUGCUGCAUGGCUGUCGUCAGCUCGUGUCGUGAGAUGUUGGGUUAAGUCCCGCAACGAGCGCAACCCUUGUCGGUAGUUGCCAUCAGGUGAAGCUGGGCACUCUACCGAGACUGUCGGCGAGAAGCCGGAGGAAGGUGGGGAUGACGUCAAGUCCUCAUGGCCUUUAUGUCCCGGGCUACACACGUGCUACAAUGGGCGGAACAGAGGGAAGCGACCCUGCGAAGGCAAGCGAAUCCCAGAAAUCCGUCCUCAGUUCGGAUUGCAGUCUGCAACUCGACUGCAUGAAGGUGGAAUCGCUAGUAAUCGCGGAUCAGAACGCCGCGGUGAAUACGUUCCCGGGCCUUGUACACAC
rnacentral:rRNA from 1 species